CCCGCUGAACUUAAGCAUAUAAUUAAGCGGAGGACUAGAAAAUAACAGAAAUUUCCUGAAUAGUGGCGAACGAAAAGGAAACAGCGCGUCGUGUAAAUCGGGUUUCCAUAAUCCGAGUUGUACAUGACUACUAACAAUAUCCAAAACCAGAUGGAGGUGUCUGGAAAGUCCCCCCAUUGACGGUGAAAGGCCGUAACAUCUGUCAGAGGAUAGUGUCGUUAGUAGUAAGCAGAGUCACAUUCUUUGGGCGUAGAAUGUAAAAUGGGUGGUAACUAUCAUCCAACGCUAAAUAUUGCAAAGAGACCGAUAGCAUACAAGUACCGUGAGGGAAAGUUGAAAAGCACUCCGGAAGGAGAGUUAAAUACCUGAAAUCGCUAUGGUGGAAGCGUGUGCCAUAUUUUGUAAGCCCACGAUACUCUCGUGGACUUGCCGUGACAAUCCUCGCGUCAUGACCUAUCAAUACUUUGUAUUGGAGUAAUGUAUGCCAGGUUUGUUUGAUCUGGCACACGACCCGUCUUGAAACACGG
rnacentral:rRNA from 1 species